GACGAACGCUGGCGGCGUGCUUAACACAUGCAAGUCGAACGGUGAAGCGCCUUCCUUUUUGGUGGGUGUGGAUGAGUGGCGAACGGGUGAGUAACACGUGAGUAACCUGCCCCCUUCUUCUGGAUAACCGCGUGAAAGUGUGGCUAAUACGGGAUAUUCUGGGUCUGUCGCAUGAUGGGUCUGGGAAAGAUAUUGUUUCGGUGGGGGAUGGGCUCGCGGCCUAUCAGCUUGUUGGUGGGGUGAUGGCCUACCAAGGCGGUGACGGGUAGCCGGCCUGAGAGGGUGGACGGUCACACUGGGACUGAGACACGGCCCAGACUCCUACGGGAGGCAGCAGUGGGGAAUAUUGCACAAUGGGCGCAAGCCUGAUGCAGCGACGCCGCGUGAGGGAUGGAGGCCUUCGGGUUGUGAACCUCUUUCGCCAGUGAAGCAGGCCUGCCUCGUUUGUGGGUGGGUUGACGGUAGCUGGAGAAGAAGCGCCGGCUAACUACGUG
rnacentral:rRNA from 1 species